rnacentral:rRNA from 1 species
GAUACACGAAGAACCUUACCUGGCCUUGACAUGGUAGGAACCCUUAAGAGAUUAGGGGGUGCUAGCUUGCUAGAACCUACACACAGGUGCUGCACGGCUGUCGUCAGCUCGUGUCGUGAGAUGUUGGGUUAAGUCCCGCAACGAGCGCAACCCUCGUCCUUAGUUGCUAACAGUUCGGCUGAGCACUCUAGGGAGACUGCCUUCGCAAGGAGGAGGAAGGUGAGGACGACGUCAAGUCAUCAUGGCCCUUACGGCCAGGGCUACACACGUGCUACAAUGGGGCGUACAGAGAGCUGCGAUACCGCGAGGUGGAGCCAAUCUCUUAAAGCGUCUCUCAGUUCGGAUUGUUCUCUGCAACUCGAGAACAUGAAGCUGGAAUCACUAGUAAUCGCAGAUCAGCUAUGCUGCGGUGAAUACGUUCCCGGGUCUU